rnacentral:rRNA from 1 species
UACGAAGGGGGCUAGCGUUGCUCGGAAUUACUGGGCGUAAAGGGCGCGUAGGCGGAUGUUUAAGUCAGGGGUGAAAUCCUGGAGCUCAACUCCAGAACUGCCUUUGAUACUGAGGAUCUUGAGUUCGGGAGAGGUGAGUGGAACUGCGAGUGUAGAGGUGAAAUUCGUAGAUAUUCGCAAGAACACCAGUGGCGAAGGCGGCUCACUGGCCCGAUACUGACGCUGAGGCACGAAAGCGUGGGGAGCAAACAGG